UUUGUGCGAGUACGAGUUGCAUUGCACGCGGCCGACCCAGUUGCAUCGUUUGGUGUUCCUUUUCGGGCGGCGCAGCGCCGUCUGAAUCGUAAAUUGGCAGCACGUUCCACACGGCAAAAAUAUUCGGAUGUCAGGCAUUCACUUUAGGGUUGACCGAAAAUGUGGCGGCUGGGCAGAAAAUUAAAGACAAACAUCAUCAUCAUCGCCCCGAGUAACAGAAACUUUCGUCACGUCCGCUUGAAGACCCGAACAAACCGACAAACCACCAGCAAACCAGCAAACCAACAAACCAGGUGAGAGCAAACACCGACGAGGAGCGCCUGUUCUCGAGGGCCACUGGGCGAGGGCAGACAGGUGCAAAGUGCACAGGACGACUCAUUGAAUUGCGAGGACAAUGCCUCUUCAGUCGCCUAUCUACCAGCCACCUCGCCACUCCUCACCACUCCUUGCCACUCAUCACCACUCCUCGACAAGGACGCGUCUUGGGCUGCGACUUUAAGCUGAAGUGUUUAAAAUUGUUGGCCAUUAUCAGCGGCUGUCAAUAAACGCAUUAAAACAUUUUUGCGAUUCGCGAGCUCGUUGACGGCUGAUGGCGCAGACACGCGGCUGUCAGGCAGUCGAGGAAACUGUGAAGCGGAAACUGCAAGCGCAGAGCUGCUGCACUAACGAGUCCCAUUGAUUUUCGCCCGCCGGAAGGGCGGCGGCACGCGAGGAAGAGCGCCGGAGCGAGGAUGGGAGAUGUGCGCACGCUGCGUAUGAGUAAUGGGAAAAUUCUUAAUGGGCGAAGAAAAUUGGUUGCGCAUAAACAAUGAGAUUCCUGCGACCGGGGAGAAUGAUAAUGAGUUCGCCGAGCACGGACCACCGGAAAGUGGGCGAACGGAGCCCGCGAUGGAGUACGUGUGCCAAACGCACCAAAUAUUCUAUUACGGACUUUUCAAUCUUAUCCAAUAUGCACCGCAUAGGGAAGAAUUUUCCAUUUUAAUAAGAGCCUUAUUAAAGAAAGCUCUGGAGGUGGAGGGUUUUUUUGGUAAAGAGCAUUAGGUGCCUAUUUGAAUUUUUGAAAUUUAAGAAGAAGUGCAAUAUGGUCGUAUGGACACACUUACGCACUCAAUAAGAUUUUUAUUAACCACCAGCCCCUCCCCAGAGUUCUUUCGUCAGCUACUUGCUCCUUGGCGUCUCACCAAACAGUCUCAUUAAUGCGAUACUUUCGUUACGCAAUCAGUAAUUUAUGAUUCAUACGCGUAUUAAUUCCGUAUCGGAGCACUUAUUGCAGCUCCUUGCACUCUGUGUCGCCCACUCGCCGUUUUAAUCCUUUAUUCAUGCAAUAUUUAAUCAGUAUUUUCCAGCGAGUUUAACCGUUCUUUAUGAAAUUAUAAUGAUUUCUCCGCCUCCUUUAUUUAAUUGUUUAAUUUUCUUUUAAUUUCCGAGCAUUCCCGCAUUUUUAUCGGCCCCUUGUUGACCCAAUGCCACGCAUAUCGAAGCCGUUUCGAGGGAAAAUUGUGCGUUAUUCGAAUAAAUUGACGCAGGGCUGAGUGGGGCACAACCCGAUUUCCAUAACGAAUAAAAGAUAAUAGGGCGAUUCGCCGAAGGACUUAUCAGCCAAAGUGGACGUCCUUUUUAACCCAGGGGCAUUUCAGUUAAUUACUCCACCUGCUAAUUGUACACGAAGUGGGAGUUUCGACCCUCGGUUGCCGUCAGGAUUAAAAGAGCAUUCAUAAAACUACCGCCUAAGGAGUUAGAAAAUUAGCCCUUGCACUUUUCCAUUAUUUCAAAUUUGAAAAUUCCAGUCAAGAAAGGAUUUUCAUGCUUUACUGCAAGGCAAGAUUUAACUUUAUUGUUUUUGGAAAGUGUAAUCCUUUUGGUUAUGACUUUAAUAUUUUGAAACAAUAAAUAUUAUAUGCAUAAUAUAUAUACUUUUUCUGUGCGCCUUACGAAUUAACUUUUUCCUAUGAAAUUAAAUUUAAAAUGUUCACGAAAUUUCCAAAACAAGCUUCAUAAAAAAUUGCACACGCAGUACAAACGUUCAGACACAUUUCAUAAAAAAUUGUUAAAUUGAUUUGCAUAAAUAAAUUUAUUGCAGCUAUUAAAAUUAAUAGAAAGUUAUAUUAUUUUUUAAUUUUCCUUGAAAAAUGUUCUAUGUCAGUUAGUUAGUGAGCAGUCAGUAAACGCUUAAAAAAUGCACAAAAAAGCGGAAAAUACAUCGACACUUGGAAACAAAAUUGGGCAAAAGAGAAGAGAUUAUUACUCAAAAAAUCAAUUUAAACAUUUUAUUUUAUUUAAAAUGAAAAGCUCCCCAGUUGAAAGGUUUAUGCAAAGCACCGUACUUACUUGCACUUGGGGCAGUAGUUUGUAUCCCCAGUCUGUGUCACCUGCUAUCGCCCGGAAUUCGUGCUGAACAGUGUAAUAUUUUAUUCAAAUGCGCUGCUGCUGUUUGUCCUGCCUAUUUGUCCUGCUCGUCGAUAUAUCAUUUGGAAGCUGCCGAAAAAAAGACACUGACAGGACGACAAAUUUGCCCGCUAUUUAUGCGGCGGCAAACAGGAGAGGCCAUCGACCAUCCACCAUCCACUAUCCACCAUCGACCAUCGGAUCCGAAGUAGCUGGACAAGCCGCCGCAGUGCAGCUAGAAUUCAAGGAGAGUGGGGUGCAGUUCGCUGGCUAUGUAAAUAGUUAUGGCCAGCGAAAUCAAAACUAAAGCAAUUCCAAAUAUAAUUAAUUGCAAUUGACCCGAUUUGUAAUUUAUUUAUUUA